rnacentral:rRNA from 1 species
UACGUAGGUGGCAAGCGUUGUCCGGAAUCACUGGGCGUAAAGCGCGCGCAGGCGGCGAUCUACGUCUGGGGUGAAAGCCCGGAGCUCAACUCCGGGACUGCCUUGGAUACGGGAUCGCUUGAGGAUUGGAGAGGCAAGGGGAAUUCCACGUGUAGCGGUGAAAUGCGUAGAGAUGUGGAGGAACACCUGUGGCGAAGGCGCCUUGCUGGCCAAUUUCUGACGCUGAGGCGCGAAAGCGUGGGGAGCAAACAGG